AGUAACAUUGCGUACAGUGCAAAAAGUCAGAAUCCAAUCAUGAGUUGGACUGGACUAUUCUGACGUAAAAUUGGAAAAAAACAGCUCCCUUGUUGUCACGGUUGUCACCUUGGCCUUAGAUUUCCAUGGAAAUAGCAAAAAAUAAAUGACAGGAGGCGAAGCUGAAAAGUUUGACCUUUUUUCACUCUGAAGAAAUAAUUCAUUUGAACAAGAAGUCAAUUUGAUUUAGGGAAGUUUAAUAUUUAUAAAUUAAUAAAAGUAGCAGUUAGUAUUUUUGCAACAGUUUUCGUAGUGAAAUAAUUCACUUUCAUUGUACCGCACACAGCUACACUGAAUCUGUCCAGCUUCUCCCGUAGGUGAGCACUGUCCCGCUGUUUGCUACCAGGAAGUAGCCUUCUUUGGUCCUUGCUCAGGUGAGCACUGGCCUGUUGUUUGGUACCAGUUUUAUAGUUGAAAUACCGAUACACAGCAACAUGAUACGCACUCCACCCAACCAACUGAAUUCAAAUGUCCAAGACGGGGAAACAGGUGCAAAUAAUCAGGACAGAGAAUGAAUCUGUCGUACCUCGAAAAGAGGCACGAAAUCUGGAUUGUAGUCAACUAAAAAUCGAUCAUCGCGAAGCAGCAUAACUGACAGCCAAAGCAAGCUUUUAGAUCUAGAGGAGAAAACCGAGGAGGCGGAACUGCGUGCUUCUACUGAACGAGGCAGGAUUGUAACCGAAUUGCAGAUUCAGCAUGACCUGGCAUCGACGACAGCACAAAGGAAAGCUGCGAGAAAAGUUGAGAUGCUGUCUAGAUCGAGUACUUCGAGUAGAUCGAGUGCGUACACUAAUGCGUCCAAGCGUGUUGAGAAGUGGCUUGCUGAGUCAGGAAAGAUACCUAAGGCCACACAACGAAUAUGAAGAAUCAUCCCACCGGAUGGAUCCUGCGUUUUCACGAGGAACCGAAGGACCUGGGGUGAACGACAUUUUGUCUCAGGCGUUGCAGAGUCGAAAUAUGAACGGACGAUUUUCGAAAACGAAUUUAAAACGUAAACUAAGGAGUAUAAGCUAACUGAUCACGAUAACCUGAGACGGUUGAAUAAAGCGCUGCAAGGUAAAGCGCGCAGGACUAGAAUCACUGCUUGUAUCCCCUGAGAAUGUGCAGCAUAUUAUACGAAUGUUGCAGUCAAAUUUCGGACGCACCGAAUGGGUGGUGGCAAAUAGAUUGGAAGCGAUAAGAAACCUGGAGAUCGUAAAAGAAAGUAACUUCGAAUCUUUCCGUGCCUUUUAUAAUUGCGGUUAUUGGGUUGCGAUUGCCAACGCGAAGGCGGAUAACUACCUGAUGGCUAUCCGAACUCAUCUCUCACCUGGCUAAUAAACUGCCUUGCCUGUGUGCAAAAUGUGCGGGCACGGUCUAGUAUUGUGCCUUUUCAGCGGCAAUACAUAUCAAAAAUGUUUCGGGUUAAUGUUUAUCAGGCCAGUCUUGUGGUGCUCAGGUUGUGAGUUCGAUGAUCAUUGGGUUGGAUAAGAAGAUGAGCAAUUCGCUUUCAUUUCUGCCUUUUACUGAUGCCCGGAAAAACAUCGAUGCACAGAAAAACAUCGCAUUAGAUAACGGAAUAGAGAAAUUGAUUAGGUCUAACGAACAGAAUUUGAAGAGCCGAAGUGUUGGAAAUCAAAUUAACUCGAAGAAAAUCGUCGCAUGCCCGAGUCCUGAGGAAGUCCCUUAAUAUUUAUUUUUUAUAGCUUAAAUAUAUGAAAAACCCACGGCUCCUUUAAGCUAACUCGUUGAGCCGUGUCAAAUGAAUGAAAUAAAUCCAAAGCUCGUUGAAUGUGAGCAUCAAUAUCUAAGAAUCAAGUCGAGCUACUGAUCAUAGAAGACGACUGUACGAAACUGCAUGUGAGUAUCAAAACUGAUUGCGGUUCAUUUAAUCGCAGUCGCACUGAACAAGCAUUCCUAAAAUCUAUCGUAAAUCGAGGUUAAGACCAAAGUUAUAACAUUAUAAUCUACCACUUUUAACACUUUACUUUUCUUUCAAGUCAGUGUGAAAGAUUAUGAACUCUUCCGAGUUAAUCCACAUUUGUUCACCCUUUUACUACGCUAACAUAAGUU